UGCUUCCACCUCUGCUCAAAGUGAGCAGUCAGCCCUAGUGCCACCUUAGCGGCCAACAAGACUCAAACGGACACUACAGAGUUAGUUGUCGGCGCGAGUACGUCUCUGUCAUUAACCUAGGUCGUUAGAUCUGCUAGGCGGCUCCACAAUAGCAAUUGGCACCAGCCUAUGCCAACACUUGCCCCCGCCCUCAUCCCAACCUUUUCCGGGCAACGCAGAGGCCAAUUCAGCGACUGUGGAGGAUGAGGGGAAUGGAAACCUCCCCACCGGCCUGAGGAGUAAAAGAUCUUAGAGGAUUUGUCUAGGGUUGGCGACCAACCAGAUCAUUUUGGUCACACAUAAGAGGUUCCGAGUUGUAUACUUCCCCAAGUACUGCCGAACGAGUGCUAAAGUUAAUAGUUUGUUGACUCAUGAUUGUGGUGGCCUCAUCCGCACCAAAUGCCCCCUGGAUGCCAAUUCAUGGAAGACGCACAAGGACCCGAUUCGUGCCAAGAUGAACCGAGAGAUUUCCAUAAUUAUACAAUAACUUUCUUACUUUAAUAUUUGUUUUCCAUUAACUUAUUUUAUGUGGUUUUAAACGAAACCUCUUUUUUUUUUUUGGAUAUUUCAGGCCAACUUCAAGUGGAAUGAGCGGGACAAAGCUUUUUUUUUGCUUACACAGACUGGGUGUAGAGCGGUUGAUAUAAGGAGUGGAGAUACAAGCUACAAGAGUGUUACGAAAGUUUUCCUAUGCCUGAAGUAACUCUUACAGAAUAGAACCACCCCAAGAGUUUGUGAAGAUAGUUGCUGAGUGGCAGUGGUUGUGCACUAAUUUUUAGCGUAAAAAAUAUCAGAUUGGCGGCACAUAUAGGUAACUAGGAGAAGAAGUCGUACUUUCACCACUUCGUUCUCGACACCUAUCUUAUUGGGUAGAGAAACGGCAAGCGGCUGAGGAGCAUUUCCCGCAGGUGGUGGUUUGGGGCAACGAGGUUGUGAAUGGAAUUGAUAAGAAGGAUGAGUACCUAGCCAACCUUUCCUAGCAACAAUUGGAUGUGCCUAUGGAAGAGCUGACACCUAAUUCAGAGCUGUCUCUUUAUUUGCUCAUGGAUGGGGUUGGGUGAAGGAAAGGCAAGGAGGUUUGCGGCCUAGGAAUAGGUCGGAUUCAGGAAGUCAGAAGGUUUUCAUCUUCAGCUAGCUCUAAUCUAUCGACCGAGAUUGAUUCCAGACUUAAGCAAUUGUAGACAGAGUUGGCAUGCCAAAGGGAAAAAGGUGAGCGCUUGACACAUGCUGUUGUAAAAGAUCGAGAAUUAAUGCACUUGUACAUCGCUGUCGUGGCCCAGUCCUUGUUAGCUUCUGUCAUCAGGAUUCCCAAGCUCCCAACCGAGCUUUUGUAGCCAUUUCGCCAAUCGCCCCGGCAACCACCAUAAUAGUUUACGUUUUUUUAAUUUAGUCUUGGUAAUAUAAUAGUAUGAACAAUUCUAUUUUAG